GACGUAGGGGGCGAGCGUUGUCCGGAAUUACUGGGCGUAAAGAGCACGUAGGCGGGACCUUAAGUCAGGUGUGAAAGACCGCGGCUCAACCGCGGGGUUGCACCUGAAACUGGGGUUCUUGAGGGCAGGAGAGGAAAGCAGAAUUCCUGGUGUAGCGGUGAAAUGCGUAGAAAUCAGGAGGAAUACCAGUGGCGAAGGCGGCUUUCUGGACUGACCCUGACGCUGAGGUGCGAAAGCGUGGGGAGCAAACAGGAUUAGAUACC
rnacentral:rRNA from 1 species